AUUUCCGGCGUUGACUCCAAUUGAACCGCAGGCUUCACCCCUUGUGGUGCUCCCCCGCCAAUUCCUUUAAGUUUCAGUCUUGCGACCGUACUCCCCAGGCGGCAGACUUAACGGCUUCCCUGCGGCACUGGGUUGGCCCGAAGCCAACCCAUCACCGAGUCUGCAUCGUUUACAGCUGGGACUACCCGGGUAUCUAAUCCGGUUUGCUCCCCCAGCUUUCAUCCCUCACCGUCGAGCGCGUUCUGGCAAACCGCCUUCGCCACUGGUGGUCUUCAGUGGAUCAGUGGAUUUUACCCCUACCCACUGAGUACCGUUUGCCUCUCCCGCCUCCUAGCCCUGUAGUAUCCUCCGCAGCCCAUCUGUUGAGCAGGUGGAUUUAACGGAGGACUUGCAGAACAAGCUACGGAUGCUUUAGGCCCAAUAAUCGUCCCGACCACUCGGGGUGCUGGUAUUACCGCGGCGGCUGACACCAGACUUGCCCACCCCUUAUUCUGCACCAUUUUUAGAGGUGCCAAAAGAUGCCCUUAGCGGGCAUCACUCAGAGUAACCCUGUCAAGCUUUCGCCUAUUGCAGAGGUUUCGCGCCUGCUGCGCCCCAUAGGGCCUGGGCCCUUGUCUCAGUGCCCAUCUCCGGGCUCCUUCUCUCAAAGCCCGUACCGGUUAUUGGUUUGGUGGGCCAUUACCCCACCAACAGCCUGAUCGGCCGCAGUCCAAUCCAGGGGCCAUAUAGGUUUCAGCCAUUGUCCAUUCCAGAAACCUUGGCCUAUCGCAGUUUAUCCUCAGUUUCCCGAGGUUAUCCACGUCCCCUGGGCAUGUUGACUACGUGUUACUGAGCCGUAUGCCACGCCUUGCGGCGUUGACUCGCAUGGCUUAGCCCCACUCUGAUAGCAGUCGGGUCCGGCAGGAUCAACCGGAAAAU
rnacentral:rRNA from 1 species